AUGAACGCUGGCGGCGUGCCUCAUCCAUGCAAGUCGAGCGAACGGACGAGAAGCUUGCUUCUCUGAUGUUAGCGGCGGACGGGUGAGUAACACGUGGAUAACCUACCUAUAAGACUGGGAUAACUUCGGGAAACCGGAGCUAAUACCGGAUAAUAUUUUGAACCGCAUGGUUCAAAAGUGAAAGACGGUCUUGCUGCCACUUAUAGAUGGAUCCGCGCUGCAUUAGCUAGUUGGUAAGGUAACGGCUUACCAAGGCAACGAUGCAUAGCCGACCUGAGAGGGUGAUCGGCCACACUGGAACUGAGACACGGUCCAGACUCCUACGGGAGGCAGCAGUAGGGAAUCUUCCGCAAUGGGCGAAAGCCUGACGGAGCAACGCCGCGUGAGUGAUGAAGGUCUUCGGAUCGUAAAACUCUGUUAUUAGGGAAGAACAUAUGUGUAAGUAACUGUGCACAUCUUGACGGUACCUAAUCAGAAAGCCACGGCUAACUACGUG
rnacentral:rRNA from 1 species